GAGGGCCGUCCCCGUUCCCUCCGGGUCCUCCGCGCACCGCGGCUCCCGGCAGCGCGAGGGCGGCCGGCCAGAGCGGUUUCAAACUUAGAAAACUGCGCUCUGAUCGCGGGAACGUACAGACUCGUGCCGCCUCGAGUCCGAUUCUCGGAGCAGGUGUCAGGCGCCCGGCUACUGCUGUGCUGUGGGCACGGCCCGUGACGGUUCUGACGAGCAGCUGGGUAGAGCUCCGGGGGCUGCAGCCACCGAGCUCAGUAACUUCCUUUAAAAGCAACAUAAACAGCACAAAAUUAGACUGUUUUGUGGAAGCAGAAAUGCUUGGUAGUGGUAGGACUCUGUGCGCUUGCCUAGCAUGCCAUUGCAAGGACAAUCAGCAUGGAAAACCAGGACUUUGAGCUCUGCAUCUCUGCUUGAUCUUGACUUGCUGGUUGAUACCAGGAGCUGCUUCCCAGAUCCUCUUGAUUCGGUUCGAGAAGUUAGAAUUACCUGUAAUCAUUGGUAAACCAAAAGUCCCGAAUGGAGAACAAUGACAGGCGCCCACCGAGAAGUCAUCAUUUCAAAAACAUCCAGCUCCCACCUGUGCUUUGGGAUGUGAAAGAAUGACGUUGGCAGGUAGAGGCCUCAAGUUCCUCUCGGAUGCAUCUGGACCAUUUUAUUAGGGAGUCCACUGAGCCUGUGAUCAGCCUGAGUGCAGCUGAUGGUGAGCAGCGCCAAGGUGUGGUACUGAGCUGCUGAUCAAAUUGGUGUAUUUCAGAAGACCUGAAAAAAUUAGAUGAUUGAAACAUCACUCGUAAGCCACAGCUUCACCAUGAGGACUUUAGGAAAAGCAUGGCUGCACAGAGUACCUUCACCAGCAAUCUUCCAGGCUCCGACAAAACUAUUGUUCUUGAAGACCAGAAAGAUUGUUAUUGAGCUUUCCACAAAGCUGAAAUAAUGCUGUGUGUUAAAAAAAUGUUAACAAUUUGAAGAAGUUAUAAAAAUUUAUAAGUUGACUGAAUACUUUGGAAAUUUCUGCAUAUUUUAAUAUAAAUAGAAAAUCAAAGAAAUCGUGGAAGAUGGAGGAGUUAUUUCAGAUGCAUUUGGUGCAGUGAUGAGCUCAAACUUUAUUCGAAACUAUUAUGGUAAAAUAGAACAAGAAGAUACAAAAGAGAGAAAGAAGGAAUAGAAAGUGGUGGAAGGGAAGGGCCUCUGGACUGGUUCUCCUGCUCUGCAGCACAGUUACUUGCCUUUCUCGUUGAGGCUCUUGGUCAUCCCAUCUACCACGGUCAAGAAGACUGCCACAUACAGAUAUGGUGAUCAGUAUGUCUGGUCCAGUUUGAAUGCCCUGUCCUGGAGUGGGAAGCAAGUUCUGCACUGUAUGUGGAUGAAGUUAAUCAGUUUGCAGUAACAAAGUGUUGGAAGGGACUUCAAGAGCUUAUCUAUACAGAGCUGGCCAGCCUGUGCCUUGGAGGCCUGCUGGGGAGAGGUGACAUUCAAGUGAUGAAGAAAUAGGAGUCUGCACCAUUCGUCAGCCUAGCGAGAAGGCGGCUCUAUGCUCACUUUGAAAGAGGGCAGUGCAAAAGUUACCUAGGACAAGGGAAGUUACGGGAUUAAAUGAUCCUUGAUCACGAAAGCAGGUGCACCGGAGGCAAUCAGAAUGCACGUCUGCUGAAGCCCCGAAAGAAGUUAACAGCAGUCAAACUUGCUACCCAUAUGGUGGAAACAUCAGGAUUACUGAAUCCAUAGCAAACUCUCGGCUGUAUGGCUGCUACAGGCCUCACACUGGGUAGCUGUGCCACUGGGAGCACCAGGCCUGCAUCGAGGCUGGAGAGGCUGUUCGGUGGUAAGCACAACUGCUUCAGCUUUUAUUGCACCCUUCUGCUUUUUUGUUCAGAAGUAG
ensembl:lncRNA